UACAGAGGGAGCAAGCGUUGUUCGGAAUUACUGGGCGUAAAGGGCGCGUAGGCGGUUCGAUAAGUCCCGUGUGAAAUCCCUCGGCUCAACUGAGGAAUGGCACGGGAAACUGACGGGCUUGAGUUCGGGAGAGGGAAGCGGAAUUCCGGGUGUAGCGGUGAAAUGCGUAGAUAUCUGGAGGAACACCGGUGGCGAAGGCGGCAUCCUGGACCAACACUGACGCUGAGUGAGCGAAAGCCAGGGGAGCAAACGGG
rnacentral:rRNA from 1 species